AAGUCGUAACAAGGUUUCCGUAGGUGAACCUGCGGAAGGAUCAUUAUCAUACGUAUACACGUAUAAACCAAUGUCGAACUCGUACAAGUCCGUUAGGUCUGGGUAUGGUUGCUCUGAGGUUGGAAUCAUUCAAACAAAUAUCACUUUUGUUUGAGGUGACCAAAGUACCUCUGUGUAGCUUUACAGAGAUCUCCGAUUUCUGUAGCCCUCUCCUAGCACGCGUAUUUCCAUUCAAACUUUGAACAUCUUUUCUUUUUACAUUUAACCCAUUUCACCCAAUCUUAUAACUGAACUAAACACGAUCCGCUUCGAAAGGAGCACCGAUCGACAAGAUACGAAACUUAAGAACAACUCUUAACAACGGAUAUCUUGGCUCUCGUAAUGAUGAAGAACGCAGC
rnacentral:misc_RNA from 1 species